AACGAACGCUGGCGGCGUGGAUAAGACAUGCAAGUCGAACGGGACUAAAUCUGUAGCAAUACAGGUUUAGUUUAGUGGCGAACGGGUGCGUAACACGUGGGGAAUCUGCCGAGAAGUGGGGGAUAGCUCGCCGAAAGGCGAAUUAAUACCGCAUAUGAUCAGCUAAGACAUCUUAGCGACAUCAAAGCCGGGGCAACCUGGCGCUUCUUGAUGACCCCGCGGCCUANCAGCUAGUUGGUGAGGUAACGGCUCACCAAGGCUAUGACGGGUAGCUGGUCUGAGAGGACGACCAGUCACACUGGAACUGAGACACGGUCCAGACACCUACGGGUGGCAGCAGUCGAGAAUUUUUCUCAAUGGGGCAACCCUGAAGGANCGACGCCGCGUGGAGGAUGAAGGCUUU
rnacentral:rRNA from 1 species